CACAGGUAGCGUAAUUAAAACAGGUGGGAAAAUCAGUGUGGGUACGGCAGUCGACCUGGGUGGGGUAACUGACACAGUUGAGGAAAUUAUUGUGGGUGAGGCAGUCCACCUAGGCCAGGAAGUUGACACAGGCAGCUAUUGCACUGAGGUCUGAGGAGCGAGGUUGUGGUCCAUGACAGUUCAUGGGAAAGGCCUAAAAAUAACCAGAGAAAGAAACUCAGAGAUGUCCAUAACAUCUGCAAAGCUGGUGGACUUGGACAGUGACACCGUGUCCUCCUCCGCCUCGCGGUAGUCCAUGCUGGGCCUGUCCAGGCCGAAAGUCGCCGACGCCGUCAUUGAGACCGGCGGCAUUGGGUCGGGGACCAGCUCGGACACCACGGAUACCAUGUCCUUGUCAUUGUCUUCUUCUUCAUCAUCCUCCUCCUCUUCUUCUUCUUCGGUGACAUCGCUGAUGACAAAGGAGGCGGCUGCCGUAGUGGCCUGUUGAUAAGGGGCGGUCUCGAAGGGCGCCAUAGAGAAGCUCAUGGUGGUGUCGUCGGGAGAAAGAAGGUCCGGGGUUAAGGGGUUGGAGCCUGGAAUUUAAAAAAGAAUAGAACCAUCAACUGCUGGUUUGCACUACAUUAAGUACACUUGCACAUUAUAAUAAGAGCCAAUACAAACGCUGUAGAUAAAGAUAAUAAUCCUCAAUUUUGAGAGAGGUAUUUAUUUAGUAACUGUAUUCUGUGGUACUAAGAGAUGUCUGUGAUAUGUUGCUCUGUCUCAUCUAUCUCUUGGGACUUCAACCACACUAAUAACCAUGUUAUUAAAUCAUUAUUAUUCAA